rnacentral:rRNA from 1 species
GGCCGCGGGAAGUCGAGUCAGGCCUAAGACAUGCAAGUCGAGCGGUAGAGAGAAGCUUGCUUCUCUUGAGAGCGGCGGACGGGUGAGUAAAGCCUAGGAAUCUGCCUGGUAGUGGGGGAUAACGUUGGGAAACGGACGCUAAUACGGCAUACGUCCUACGGGAGAAAGCAGGGGACCUUCGGGCCUUGCGCUAUCAGAUGAGCCUAGGUCGGAUUAGCUAGUUGGUGAGGUAAUGGCUCACCAAGGCGACGAUCCGUAACUGGUCUGAGAGGAUGAUCAGUCACACUGGAAGGGAGACGCGGUCCAGACUCCUACGGGAGGCAGCAGUGGGGAAUAUUGGACAAUGGGCGAAAGCCUG